ACGGACACAUCACGUUGAAACUCCGGUUCACGUACGAUAAUGAAAGUUAAGCAAUGCCGAGCUUGGGCAGUACCUAGAUGUGUGACUGUUUGGAAAUACCAGGUGCUGUAA